GUAUUUAUUUAGACAUUUUUAUGCUUUUGGGGGAGAAGGGCGAGGAUAUAAGAGCCCAGAGGAAACAUAGUGCCUUCCUCUUUACAGACUCCUGUUUUCACCCAGCCAAAGCCAGCAGCACCUCCUCUUGAAAUGAAAAUAUGGAAGGAAGUAAUAAGGCUUUGCAAGUUCUUCUAGCUCUUCAUUUAAGGCACGUUGCUAAUUACUGCUUCUAGCUGAUGCCUUCCCAGCAGGUACCUCCAGAGAAAGAUGAGCAAUUCAAAAACUCUCAGACUCCUGAUUGGGGGUAAGGAGAGGUAUUCCUUAAACCCACCCUUUGUUGUUCAGUUGUUUCAGUUGUGUCUGACUCUCCAUGGCCCCAUUUGGGGUUUUCUGGGCAAAGAUACUGAUGUGGUUUGCCAUUUCCUUCUCCAGCUCAUCUUAGAGAUGACAAAAAACUGAGGUCAACAGGGGGAGUUGCUGUAGAUGGCCAUUGAGGUCCCUUUCAUUGCUACAUGGACUCUGAAUCACUUCAGCAGAGAAACAAGAUUCCUCCAAGUUGUUCAGGAUCACUGCAUUGCCACUAAUGGAGAAGUCCAUUACAUUCUAUUGUACCACAGUGUAUCACUCUGUGUACAAUGUUCUCCUGGUUCUGCUCCUCUCACUCUGCAUCACUUCCUGGAGGUCAUUUCAGUUCACAUGGAAUUCCUCCACAAAGAGCACAGCUACGAAUAUUCUUGUACAAGUCUUUUUCCUUAUUAUCUCUUUGGGGUACAAACCCAGCAGUGCUAUGGCUGCAUCAAAGGGCAGACAGUCUUUUAUCACCCUUUGGGCAUAGUUCCAAAUUGCCCUCCAGAAUGGUUGGAUCAAUUCACAACUCCACCAGCAAUGAAUUAAUGUCCCCACUUUGCCACAUCCCCUCCAGCAUUUAUUACUUUCCAUAGCUGUCAUGUUAGCCAAUCUGCUAGGUGUGAGGUGAUACCUCAGAGUUGUUUUGAUUUGCAUCUCUCUGAGUAUAAGAGAUUUAGAACACUUUUUCAUGUGCUUAUUAAUAGUUUUGAUUUCUUUGACUGAAAAUUGCCCAUUCAUGUCCUUUGGCCACUUAUCAAUUGGAGAAUGGCUUGAUUUUUUUGUACAAUUGAUUUAGCUCUUUGUAAAUUUGAGUAAUUAGACUUUUGUCAGAGGUUUUUGUUAUGAAGUUUGUUUCCCAAUUUGUUACUUCCCUUCUAAUUUUGGUUACAUUAGUUUUGUUUGUGCAAAACCUAUUUAAUUUGAUGUAAUAAAAAUUAUUUAUUUUACA